AAGUCUUGCUGCUCAAAUUAGUGAUCUCAUAAAUAAAAGUGCGUUAGUUAGUUCACAGGGUAAUAACAAAAUGGAUGCUCAACGGGGGCUUCUUACUCUACAAGAUGCUCUGCUACUCACAGUUGUUGGAUAUAUAUUGGCAGGUGAGAAUUUCCCAUCUUCUGGGACUGUUGGUCCUUUCUCUUGGCAAGAGGAACAUUUUAUGAAAGAA
rnacentral:misc_RNA from 1 species